rnacentral:rRNA from 1 species
GAGGAAUCUUGCGCAAUGGGGGAAACCCUGACGCAGCAACGCCGCGUGAGUGAGGAAGGUCUUCGGAUCGUAAAGCUCUGUCAGAUGGGAAGAAAUGUAUGGGGGUGAACAGCUCUCAUGCUUGACGGUACCGUCAGAGGAAGCACCGGCUAACUCCGUGCCAGCAGCCGCGGUAAUACGGGGGGUGCAAGCGUUGUUCGGAAUCAUUGGGCGUAAAGGGCGUGCAGGCGGCUGGAUAAGUCAGAUGUGAAAGCCCUGGGCUUAACCCAGGAAGCGCAUUUGAAACUGUUCGGCUUGAGUAAGGGAGAGGAAAGUGGAAUUCCUGGUGUAGAGGUGAAAUUCGUAGAUAUCAGGAGGAACACCGGUGGCGAAGGCGACUUUCUGGCCCUAUACUGACGCUGAGACGCGAAAGCGUGGGGAGCAAACAG